UCAUACUUGAUGGGCAAUGUUUGACCUCUGAAUCGUGUCAGGACCGGAAGGUAGCAGCACUAAGGUUGUUCAGGCAUGUGCCUUUUAUUAGAAAUUAACAA
rfam:Lactobacillus acidophilus NCFM, complete genome.